GACACAGGGAGGUAGUGACAAGAAAUAACAAUACGGGGCUUUAAGUCUUGUAAUUGGAAUGAUGGGAAUUUAAACCUCUUCCAGAGUAUCAAUUGGAGGGCAAGUCUGGUGCCAGCAGCCGCGGUAAUUCCAGCUCCAAUAGCGUAUAUUAAACUUGUUGCAGUUAAAAAGCUCGUAGUUGAAUUUCUGCUGUAUCGUUAUCUUCUGCUUGACAGUUUGGUAUCGUUAUGGCUUGUUGGGUCACUUUGUGUCCCGGCGUUUACUUUGAGAAAAUUAGAGUGCUUCAAGCAGGCUUUUGCCUUGAAUACUUUAGCAUGGAAUAAUGGAGUAGGACUUUGGUUCUAUUUUGUUGGUUUUAGGAGCCAGAGUAAUGGUUAAUAGGAACAGUUGGGGGCAUUCGUAUUUGACUGUCAGAGGUGAAAUUCUUAG
rnacentral:rRNA from 1 species